rnacentral:tRNA from 1 species
GCGUCUGUAGUCUAGUCUGGUAGGACUUGAGCUUCCCAAGCUCAUAGCCCGGGUUCAAAUCCCGGCAGGCGCA